rnacentral:rRNA from 1 species
UACAGAGGUGGCAAGCGUUGUUCGGAAUCACUGGGCGUAAAGGGCUCGUAGGCGGCCAACUAAGUCAGACGUGAAAUCCCUCGGCUUAACCGGGGAACUGCAUCUGAUACUGGAUGGCUUGAGUUCGGGAGAGGGAUGCGGAAUUCCAGGUGUAGCGGUGAAAUGCGUAGAUAUCUGGAGGAACACCGGUGGCGAAGGCGGCAUCCUGGACCGGCAUUGACGCUGAGGAGCGAAAGCCAGGGGAGCAAACGGG